GCGGGUGUGGCGGAAUGGCAGACGCGGCAGAUUUAGGUUCUGUUGCCUGAGGCGUAUGAGUUCAAGUCUCUUCACCCGCA
rnacentral:tRNA from 1 species